rnacentral:rRNA from 1 species
UACAGAGGGUGCAAGCGUUAAUCGGAAUUACUGGGCGUAAAGCGUGCGUAGACGGUUAUUUAAGUCAGGUGUGAAAGCCCCGGGCUCAACCUGGGAAUUGCAUUUGAGACUGAAUAGCUAGGGUGCGGAAGAGGGAAGCGGAAUUUCCGGUGUAGCGGUGAAAUGCGUAGAUAUCGGAAGGAACACCAAUGGUGAAAACAGGUAGCUGGGGAUGUUCUGACGCUGAGACACGAAAGCCAGGGGAGCAAACGGG